UGAGGAGGACCUGUCCUGCUG
rnacentral:misc_RNA from 1 species